UAGGGAAUAUUGCACAAUGGACGAAAGUCUGAUGCAGCAACGCCGCGUGCACGAUGAAGGCCUUCGGGUUGUAAAGUGCUUUUAUGAGGGAAGAGAAAGGACUGUACCUCAUGAAUAAGGAUCGGCUAACUACGUGCCAGCAGCCGCGGUAACACGUAGGAUCCGAGCGUUAUCCGGAUUUACUGGGCGUAAAGCGCGUGCAGGUGGUCUAUUAAGUUGGAUGUUAAAUCUCCUGGCUUAACUGGGAGUUGUCGUUCAAAACUGGCAGACUAGAGGACGGUAGAGGAAGGUGGAAUUCCGGGUGUAGUGGUGAAAUGCGUAGAUAUCCGGAGGAACAUCAGUGGCGAAGGCGACCUUCUGGACCGCUCCUGACACUCCAACGCGAAAGCUAGGGGAGCAAACGG
rnacentral:rRNA from 1 species